UACGAAGGGGGCUAGCGUUGCUCGGAAUCACUGGGCGUAAAGCGCACGUAGGCGGACUCUUAAGUCGGGGGUGAAAUCCUGGAGCUCAACUCCAGAACUGCCUUCGAUACUGAGAGUCUUGAGUUCGGGAGAGGUGAGUGGAACUGCGAGUGUAGAGGUGAAAUUCGUAGAUAUUCGCAAGAACACCAGUGGCGAAGGCGGCUCACUGGCCCGAUACUGACGCUGAGGUGCGAAAGCGUGGGGAGCAAACAGG
rnacentral:rRNA from 1 species